UUGAUCCUGGCUCAGAAUCAACGCUGGCGGCGUGCCUCAGACAUGCAAGUCGAACGAUUAAAGCUCUCUUCGGAGAGUGUAUAGAGUGGCGCACGGGUGUGUAACACGUAAGUAAUCUACCCUCGAGUGGGGAAUAACAACCGGAAACGUUUGCUAAUACCGCAUAAUGCAGCGGCACCGCAAGGUGACAGUUGUUAAAUAUUUAUCGCUUGAGGAGGAGCUUGCGGCAGAUUAGCUAGUUGGUAAGGUUAUGGCUUACCAAGGCUACGAUCUGUAACCGGUCUAAGAGGACGGUCGGUUACACUGACACUGAAUAACGGGUCAGACUCCUACGGGAGGCAGCAGUCGGUAAUUUUGGGCAAUGGGCGAAAGCCUGACCCAGCAACGCCGCGUGAAGGAUGAAGUAUUUCGGUAUGUAAACUUCGAAAGAAUAGGAAGAAUAAAUGACGUUACUAUUUAUAAGGUCCGGCUAACUACGUGCCAGCAGCCGCGGUAAUAAUGU
rnacentral:rRNA from 1 species